CGGACAGGUGAGUAAUGUCUGGGAAACUGCCUGAUGGAGGGGGAUAACUACUGGAAACGGUAGCUAAUACCGCAUAACGUCGCAAGACCAAAGAGGGGGACCUUAGGGCCUCUUGCCAUCGGAUGUGCCCAGAUGGGAUUAGCUAGUAGGUGGGGUAAAGGCUCACCUAGGCGACGAUCCCUAGCUGGUCUGAGAGGAUGACCAGCCACACUGGAACUGAGACACGGUCCAG
rnacentral:rRNA from 1 species